rnacentral:rRNA from 1 species
UACGUAGGGUGCAAGCGUUAAUCGGAAUUACUGGGCGUAAAGCGUGCGCAGGCGGUUCUGUAAGACAGGUGUGAAAUCCCCGGGCUUAACCUGGGAAUUGCGCUUGAAACUAGCGGGCUUGAGUGUGGCAGAGGGGGGUGGAAUUCCACGUGUAGCAGUGAAAUGCGUAGAGAUGUGGAGGAACACCGAUGGCGAAGGCAGCCCCCUGGGUCAACACUGACGCUCAUGCACGAAAGCGUGGGGAGCAAACAGG